rnacentral:rRNA from 1 species
UACGUAGGUGGCAAGCGUUGUCCGGAUUUACUGGGCGUAAAGAGCGCGCAGGCGGUCGUUCAAGUCGCGUGUGAAAGCCCCCGGCUCAACUGGGGAGGGUCACGCGAUACUGAUCGACUGGAAGGCAGGAGAGGGUAGUGGAAUUCCCGGUGUAGUGGUGAAAUUCGUAGAUAUUCGCAAGAACACCAGUGGCGAAGGCGGACUCACUGGCCCGAUACUGACGCUGAGGCACGAAAGCGUGGGGAGCAAACAGG